rnacentral:rRNA from 1 species
GACGAACGCUGGCGGCGUGCUUAACACAUGCAAGUCGUACGGUAAGGCCCUUUCGGGGGUACACGAGUGGCGAACGGGUGAGUAACACGUGAGUAACCUGCCCACAACUUUGGGAUAACGCUAGGAACUUGGGCUUAUACCGGAUAUGUGCUCCUUCUGCCUUGGGGGGGGUGGAAAAGUCCGGCGGUUGUGGAUGGACUCGCGGCCUAUCAGCUUGUUGGUGGGGUAGUGGCCUACCAAGGCGGCGACGGGUAGCCGGCCUGAGAGGGUGACCGGCCACAUUGGGACUGAGAUACGGCCCAGACUCCGACGGGAGGCAGCAGUGGGGAAUAUUGCACAAUGGGCGCAAGCCUGAUGCAGCAACGCCGCGUGCGGGAUGACGGCCUUCGGGUUGGAAACCGCUUUCAGCAGGGACGAAGCUUUUUGUGACGGUACCUGCAGAAGAAGCACCGGCUAACUACGUG